UACAGAGGGGGCAAGCGUUGUUCGGAAUUACUGGGCGUAAAGGGCGCGUAGGUGGCCUUCUAAGUUGAACGUGAAAUCCCUGGGCUCAACCCAGGAACUGCGUCCAAGACUGGGAGGCUUGAAUCCGGGAGAGGGAUGCAGAAUUCCAGGUGUAGCGGUGAAAUGCGUAGAUAUCUGGAGGAAUACCGGUGGCGAAGGCGGCAUCCUGGACCGGCAUUGACGCUGAGGAGCGAAAGCUAGGGGAGCAAACGGG
rnacentral:rRNA from 1 species